UUAACUAUUAGAUAGUACUCGGACGACACUAACAUUCAGGGUUAUAAGGCCUCCGACACGCGCGAACCCGCCGAAGCCGGUGCCCGAAGGCGGCGUGCCAAAGCAACAAAGAUAUAAUACACAAGGGUGAGGUGUGCUACCCGUGAGGGCAGCGAACACUAUAAUGAUCCUUCCGCAGGUUCACCUACGGAAA
rnacentral:misc_RNA from 1 species